CUCCAAUUUAAAUUAUUUGAAUUUGAGCAAUCUCUGCAGUUUUAAUCAUAACCGUUGAUCAUAUAAUAAUGAACGGUCAAGAUUAAAUCAAUUUGUUUUCCUUUUCAACAAUAACAAAAACUAAAACCUAAUCCAAUUCUCUAAGACAACAACAGCCGCUCCUUCUCCCCCUACACCAAAAGCCACCAUCACCGCCUGACCCUCUUUUCUUUCUGUCGUUGUCUCGCUUCUCUAAAACUAUCGAUGAACCGAUGCCACAACAUUCAACUGUCGCUGCCGUCUCAUCCUCUUCUCCAUCUCAAGUCGCGACCAACAACAGUACCGUGCCGCCACUCUACUGUCGGUUGGUGUCCAGUAAAAUCAGGCCACCGGCGAGCUGUCGAUGAGCCACUAAUCGUUUCUUUCCUUCCCAUCGCCGCCUCCAGACAGUUAAACUAGUGGUGCAACCACCAACGACCAUCAAAUAGUCGUCAUGAAGUCGUUCACCAACUCGCGCCACCGUAGCGAUAACUAAACCAGCGCCGUCUCACUUGUUGAAAAAUGAUGGGUUCUAGGGAACCCAUCCCAGAAGAAUUUCAAUUGGAAUGCUUCUGUUUCAGUUAGUGAAACUGUGGUAAAGCAACAAUGGUUGAAGAAUGCUGCACUAUGCUACAAAGAUUUCAUUUCCAAUAUAAAGAAACACAAAGCUACAGUUCAACUGGAUUAAGCGUGUUAAUGGUAUUAGAGCACAAGAAGGGAUUGUGCUUGAUCUUCCUCCUACUAAUGAUGAUGACGUUGAUUCAUAGCGUCAUAGUAUUCGUAGUCCUUCAUUAUUGCAUUAUUUUUUGAUAGACUAUUUUAUAUGGAAGUACAAAAUAGUUUUGUAGUAACAAAUACUAAUUUUGAUGGGUGUGGGUUUGACAUUAGUUUAUUUUGACAAAAUAUUUGAACUUGUGGAUGUUUGGACACAGUUAUUGUACAUUUUGCUAUCUAUAUGAAUGUUGGUUAUUAUAA